AUGUUUAACUACGACGAGCAUGUUGUUGUAUCUAGUAUUCCAUGGCAUGAGAAAUCGCAGAGGGCCAUGCAUACCAGGAGCAUGUCAGUGAAUUGGUCAUUUUUGAGUCGAAGGGAAAUUAAGUUUCGAUCGGAAGCGGACUAUCUUGAGGAACCAUGUUCAGUUUGGUCUGACUGCCACCAUACUGCAAUUAUUUACUUGAGGGAAGAGGGAAUUAUGGAGAGAAAAAUACCCACCGUGCAAGCAACUUCUAGGGGGUGGGAAUGCAGGCAACAAGAAUGCUCUGUGUCCCUAGACCACCUACCAAACCCCCUGAAGAUUAUGACCCUUGCAUGGAGAAGAAUUCACAAAACAAUUUUAUGCUUCCUUGUAAUCUUCUGCCGGACAAUGGAUGCCUCAAGUGUCACAGAGUUCAUAGAGAAACCGGGUCAAAACUGCUGA
rnacentral:rRNA from 1 species